rnacentral:misc_RNA from 1 species
UUAAUCCAAAUCCGUCGUUUUUGCUCGUGAGUCAGCUACCCAAAAAACCAACAAUUGUAAACAGGUCGCGAGCUCGGCGUCCGUUGGGACGUUUCGAGAACAUUCUCGAAAUUCAAAUCCCAACGCCUAUCGUCAACUCCGGCGGAUAUAAAUAUAGCGGACAGGGUAGCGACGCAUCCUUAGUUACCGAGAGAUUCGAGCAGCGACAAUUUAACCGACACUUCUUUGCGCCGAUCGAUUAGCGACCGCGAAAUGAAACAGCAAGUAUAUUGUACGACUAGUGUAAGCAUCGG